UCAUGAGUUUCAGUAUUGCAAACCCUAGCUAGCAAUCUCUUGAAGAAGAAGAAGAAGAAGAAGAUCAGAACCUUUAAUUUGUGGAGGAAGGAGCAGUAUGAGUUCUUCCAACAUAAACACGCAGACAACUAUUAGCCCUCCCCCACCUUCUGGUGGCACUCAGACACAGGGCUCCAAAAAUGUAAAACCUCCCACUAAUAUCCCUAAUGGUCAGGAUGUCCGUUCCCGUGGGGGUCGUCGUUGACUCUUUUCAAUUUCAUUUUCAGAUCAUCAGGUGCCAGAUAUAUAUAUAUAAAUAUAUAUAUAUUUAUUGAAGUGUAUGGGUUGAUCAAGAAUAAGGGGAUACAUAGUACAUUCUCCCAUGAUUAGCUAGCAAGAAUAAGAAUACUAUAAAGAUUAUUGUUCAACUUUUUUUCGUUUUUGUUUUUGUUUUUGAGUCUAGGGCUUGAUUUGUUGUGCUAAUUCUUGUUGCUCUCCAUAAAUACAGCAGCGGAAUAUACUGUAAUCAUUUGAA